AUUACAACUCCAGCCAUAUAUUAUAAGACUCCAACAAUGAGAUUUGAAUGAAAGAUUUACACUAGAACAAAAUAAUUUAACCACACAGAACUUCAUUUCAUGCAUUCAUGUGCUAAAGUUUUGAAGAACUCAAUGGAUGCUCAAAUUAAAGAUCCUUGAUAGUACAAUGUUUCACUUGAAAGUGAAAAAAUGUAGAAUCCUCCAUCCCUUUUGAGUCACAAACCAUGAAAAAUAUUGCGAAGACCCAAAACCAAAUAAGAAAAUGAAACAUGAAAUGGGAAAUUGAUAAUUUGACCUCACAACUUAGCCUUGCUCUCAAAUAUAUAUCAAAGGCUCUCCCUCUGUAAUUCUUUAACUUUUCUUUCUCUACAAAUUAACAACAAUAACAGUAUUCAAGGUAAAGACUCCUCUUGGCUUUCUUCAUAUCCCUCCUGGCUCUCAUACUCCUCCAUGGUGUUGAAUUCAUUAGGGUUCUCAUCAUUUCCAUAUGAACCUUGAUUUUGAGUGCUUACCUUCCCUGACUCGUACUCGUUAGCAGGAUAAUAAUUCUCAUUCUUCACAUUGCUAUAGUACUUACCACCCUCCAUGAACCUUGUGUCACUCAUUCCUUGUCUCUCAAUAUUCUUCACAUUGUUAUAGUACUUACCACCCUCCAUGGACCUUGUAUCACUCAUCCCUUGUCUCUCAGUAUUCUUCACAUGGUAAUAAUACUUACCACCCUCCAUGAAUCUUGUGUCACUCAUCCCUUGUCUCUCAGUCUCAUAGCCAUUGUUAUUAUAGUUUGUGGUAUAGCCAUUGUUGUUGUAGUUGUUGUUGUUGGUGUUGCCAUUGUUGUUGUAGUUUUUGGUGUAGCCAUUCUCACUAUUUUGAUUCUCUGUUUCGUAGCUUUCACCAGCUAGUUUGUAGCCAUUGUUGUAAUAGUUGUUGGUGUAGCCAUUGUUGUUUUGAUUGCCUGUCUCAUAUCUAGCACUGCCAACUUUGUAGCCAUUGUUGUUGUAGUUGCUAGUGUAGCCAUUGUUGUUUUGAUUGCUU
rnacentral:lncRNA from 1 species